rnacentral:rRNA from 1 species
CAGCCGCCGCGGGAAUACGAAGGGUGCAAGCGUUACUCGGAAUUACUGGGCGUAAAGCGUGUGUAGGUGGUUGUUUAAGUCUGUCGUGAAAGCCCUGGGCUCAACCUGGGAAUUGCGAUGGAUACUGGGCGACUAGAGUGCGGUAGAGGAUAGUGGAAUUUCCGGUGUAGCAGUGAAAUGCGUAGAGAUCGGAAGGAACAUCUGUGGCGAAGGCGACUAUCUGGGCCAACACUGACACUGAGACACGAAAGCGUGGGGAGCAAACAGGAUUAGAUACCCCUGUAGUCCCUGUCUCUUAUAC